UACAGAGGGUGCGAGCGUUGUUCGGAAUUAUUGGGCGUAAAGAGCUCGUAGGCGGCUUGUCGCGUCGACUGUGAAAUCCCGCGGCUCAACUGCGGGUCUGCAGUCGAUACGGGCAGGCUAGAGUUCGGUAGGGGAGACUGGAAUUCCUGGUGUAGCGGUGAAAUGCGCAGAUAUCAGGAGGAACACCGAUGGCGAAGGCAGGUCUCUGGGCCGAUACUGACGCUGAGGAGCGAAAGCGUGGGGAGCGAACAGG
rnacentral:rRNA from 1 species